rnacentral:tRNA from 1 species
GCUCUUCUAGUAUAACAAUUACAAUCGACUUCCAAUCCUUAGAUUCUGGUUUAAAUCCAGAGAAGAGUA